UUAAUUCAGCUGACUCACAAACUGUCUUUCCUAAAUCAAGUAACCUAAGGAGAAACUCCUCAAGCUUUUCCCACCGCCGCUGACCACCGCCGCAGGUCUUACCAUUGCCGACGACCGUCUAUCAUCCUUCACUGAUUCACACUCAUUCAAAUUGAUCGUUUUUCAUGUUUUCAUCCUCUCCCCUCAGAUCAACAUCGCUAUUCUUGCUCGUUCGUGUCUCAGAUCUCAAUUGCUAGGUUCGGUUCCUAUCUUAAAGCAUCGUUAAUGGUGGCAGGAAAGCCAACGCGGAGGUUGAGGAGGUUCUUGAUCAGAUGCUCACUCGUUUGGCUAUCUACGACGAUUCCAAGCUUGAGCCCUUACUCUCCAAGCUUCUCCCUCUCUGCAUACCUUCACUCUUCUUAAACUCCGCCGCUGUUUGCAACAAGUUGCUAGCGACUUAGGGCACAUUGGAGUUAGACUUAAGAGGGAAGAUAGUUUCAGCAUUGAAUUCAUGGAUCUUCAAUCCGAAGAGUUUUCACAGUGGAACUAAUAAGAGUGAAGGGUGGCAAGAUAACUACAGAGCCUGGUCCUGUCAAGGGAGGCAGCACGGUCAUUACAUUCAUUGAAGAUCCUGAUGGCUACAAAUUUGAACUUUUGGAAAGAGGCCCUACUCCCAAGCCCUUGUGCUAAGUGAUGCUUCGAGUCGGUGAUCUUAAGGGUUCCAUAGAAUUUUAUGAGAAGGCUUUUGGUAUGGAGCUCCUUCCCACUCGAGAUAAUCCAGAAUACAAGAUAU